GGGCGUAAAGGACGUGCGUAGGCGGGUCUUUAAGUCAGGGGUGAAAUCCUGGAGCUCAACUCCAGAACUGCCUUUGAUACUGAAGAUCUUGAGUCCGGGAGAGGUGAGUGGAACUGCGAGUGUAGAGGUGAAAUUCGUAGAUAUUCGCAAGAACACCAGUGGCGAAGGCGGCUCACUGGCCCGGUACUGACGCUGAGGCACGAAAGCGUGGGGAGCAAACAGGAUUAGUAUACCCUGGUAGUCCACGCCGUAAACGAUGAAUGCCAGCCGUUAGUGGGUUUACUCACUAGUGGCGCAGCUAACGCUUUAAGCAUUCCGCCUGGGGAGUACGGUCGCAAGAUUAAAACU
rnacentral:rRNA from 1 species